UUUCCCUUAGAUGAUUAUAAUGUAUGACCAAAAUGAAGGAUAAAAUUAUCAGAGCCUUGCGAAACGGAAGCAAAAAGGAUUUUGUAUACAAGAGGAUUAUCACCCGCCGUAUUCUCAAACGAAGAAGAGAGAGGAAAUUGAACUCGCUGUAUGCAAGGCUCAGAGCCCUUCUGCCAAAAUCUAUCAAGGUGACAAAGGAUGCUGCAAAAUCUGAAAGUUUUUCUGAUCAUGAAAGCUGCAGCUCAUCUUUAGUGGUUGAUCUUUCAAGAAGGGAUGUAUAGGUAGGUUUUGCAAUCAUCUGAGUUGGAAGAAUGUGAUAUUAUUAGGAGCAUCAUUCUGCAAGGAUUCGCAAGCAAGGGGAAAACAAAUCAAAUAUUUGUACAUGAACUUCAUGUUAAAAACAUUUGUCUUUUCUAAUGCCACAUUUUCUUCACUCAAUUGAAAAUUUGUUUUCCUUU